UGGUAUGUGCAAAGAACUGAGAAGAGACACAGGUGGCUGGGACAGAGUGUGAGAGGUAACAAGUGGCAAACGUGGAGGAGAUAUCAUGUUGAGUUGAUGGAGAUGAAAGAUCAAAACAGCCUGCACCUCUGGUCUUCUCAUGGAAUUGUUUACUUUGGAGAAUCUCUAGACCCACCACAGACUUGAUUGUUAAGAAACAGAGCGAUG